GCCUACAGCCAUACCACCCUGAGGGCACCUGAUCUCCUCUGAGCUCAGAGGCAAGACAAGGUUAUACCUGGUUAGUAGUGGGAU
rnacentral:rRNA from 1 species